rnacentral:rRNA from 1 species
AAUGAAGUUUUAGUGACUGAGUGGCGGACGGGUGAGUAACGCGUGGGUAACCUGCCUCACACAGGGGGACAACAGUUGGAAACGACUGCUAAUACCGCAUGAUGCAUAGGGAUCGCAUGAUUCUUAUGCCAAAGAUUUAUCGCUUCAAGAUGGCCUCGCGUCUGAUUAGCUAGUUGGCGGGGUAAUGGCCCACCAAGGCGACGAUCAGUAGCCGGACUGAGAGGUUGAACGGCCACAUUGGGACUGAGACACGGCCCAAACUCC